rnacentral:rRNA from 1 species
UGGGGAAUAUUGCGCAAUGGGGGAAACCCUGACGCAGCGACGCCGCGUGCGGGAUGAAGGCCUUCGGGUUGUAAACCGCUUUUGAUUGGGAGCAAGCUUUCGGGUGAGUGUACCUUUCGAAUAAGCGCCGGCUAACUACGUGCCAGCAGCCGCGGUAAUACGUAGGGCGCAAGCGUUAUCCGGAAUUAUUGGGCGUAAAGCGAGCACAGGCGGUUAGAUAAGUCUGAAGUUAAAGGCAGUGGCUCAACCAUUGUAGGCUUUGGAAACUGUUUAACUUGAGUGCAGAAGGGGAGAGUGGAAUUCCAUGUGUAGCGGUGAAAUGCGUAGAUAUAUGGAGGAACACCGGUGGCGAAAGCGGCUCUCUGGUCUGUAACUGACGCUGAGGCUCGAAAGCGUGGGGAGCGAACAGG